CUUGAACUCUCUGGUCUUCCAGGGUAGUGUGUGUUGACCACAUGCAGAGCCAUUCCUGAAAAACGUAAGAGCCAAAAUUCAACAAUAGGGAGAGAAUCCUGUGCCAGAUGGAAUCCCUCAGGCCAGUGCGGAUUCAGAGACAUCCUAUGCCAUGGCAUGGAGGCUCCCAAGAACUUCUAGGAUCAAUGUGAGCCACACCAGAGGCCACAGUCUAUCCUGGGAGAACAUUAAAGUAUCUGGAAUUAUCAGGGACCCUAAGGCUUACCAGAGCAUGAAAACGAAAUGGCCACCUCCUGUAACAAAAAACACUUCUAGAAGAGGAAGGAGACAUCAAUACAUUCACAAAACCUUCAACUCGAAAUCUGUCUUGCCAAUAAGUGUGCAGGGAUGAAGACAGAAAAGUAGCACACCUGUCUCCAGAGGCUUUACUCAGCAGCUGAAAGCCACAGCCAAUCCUCAGAUGGAGCUCGGGAAGUCUUGUGGAAGAGUGGGGGGAGAGUGACAAGGAAACUGGUUGGGUUAAAACACUACAAGAAGCCCCCUACCGUCAGAUACCUUGGACCAUGGAGUAUGCUAGAGCCUGUGCAACCAACCCCAGAGCCGGGUUAGCUAUCUGCAGUUGGUCUCCAUGUGGGUCAUCUGACAAGUAGAUCCAGGACUGUCUCAGUCUGUGUUG
ensembl:lncRNA